UGUUUCAUCGUUCUCUCCUUGAUCUCCAUCAACGUGGUUCGGAUCCUCGUCGAGAGUGCGCACGAGCCCACCAAUGGGUCGCCAAGGAGGAGGAGGCCAAGUACAAGGCCGCCAAAGACGCCUACGAGCUGGCCAGACGCAAGCUCGCGAACUUCAACGGGCCCCUCUCCCACCUCAACCGCCAGGCGCGCGAUCCGGCGGCUGAGCAGCCGCACCUUCGUGCGGCGGCUCUGAAUGCCGCGCAGGAGGAGCACGACAGGCUCUUCACCGACGAGAAGCUCGCAAAAAGGGAGAUGGAAAGGUUAGUGCAGAAACAAGGCAUGGAGCGGAUUGAGGGAUGGCCGUUGGUUGUGAUCCGUGGUUUGUUCUUCUUUUCAGUUCUUUGCUCCCAGAUUUCUUGCGGGUUUGCAACAGCAGGUUUCUAUUACUCCAAGCAGAUAGAGUCGCGCUGUGCUCUCGGUCCGCUUGAUAUCUUUGCUUUCGUGUUGAUUGGAGUCGUUUCACUGCCGUACCAUUUGUUCCUUUUCUGGGUUUCUCUGCGCGGGAACUAAUGAUGUCGAUGAUGAGUUUCAAAGCGGUUGGUUUGUUAGGCUAGGUCUUCAAAGCUGAUGUCCCCGUGGCAAGAUCAGCAUUUGUAGUAGUUUAAGAAGAUUCCGUCUGUGCUAGUACGUAGUAGUAGUUAAUUUGUAGUACCAGUUCAUUUGUAUCCCUUGUUGUAAUAGGUCUUCAAAGCUGAUGUCCCCAUGGGCAAGAUCAGCAUUAGUUUAAGCGGAAUCUGUGUGUGCUACUAGUUAAUUUGUACCGGUUGAAACUCAUACUAUGUAAUCUUCCUUGUAUGAUAUAUCGUGUAUGGAGCAACUAUUUACUUCACUGUUUCAAAUUAAUUAUUUACUUAU
rnacentral:lncRNA from 1 species